UACGUAGGGUCCGAGCGUUGUCCGGAAUUAUUGGGCGUAAAGGGCUCGUAGGCGGUUUGUCGCGUCUGCCGUGAAAGUCCGGGGCUCAACUCCGGAUCUGCGGUGGGUACGGGCAGACUAGAGUGAUGUAGGGGAGACUGGAAUUCCUGGUGUAGCGGUGAAAUGCGCAGAUAUCAGGAGGAACACCGAUGGCGAAGGCAGAUCUCUGGGCCGUAACUGACGCUGAGGAGCGAAAGCAUGGGGAGCGAACAGG
rnacentral:rRNA from 1 species